GUCCCACCAACAACCUGCUGUUGUCUCAGGUCUCCCCGCUGCUCGUAUCCCCGGCAGUGUUCUGUGGAUUUCUAUUGGUCGAGCCAACAAAGAAGGGCGGGCUAAAGAGUCAGCGCGACCAUAUUUGGAAGUGGCAGCGCUCUCUGAUUGUAGCGUAAAGUUCAUUUUUAUCAUCUUCGUCCUGAGAAGAGGAACCUUUCACGCCGCUGCUGCCUGACACAGCAUCCUCCUCUGUUUUCUUCUCAACCUGACACAAAAGGACACUGAGUGGGACCGUGUGUGCAGGUGUUAAUGCUGCAGGUUCCGCAAAGUGGCGGAAAUAAAAAAUAAAGUGCUCAGGGUCCACUGGCACGUACCCCCCGCUGUGCAGCUCUCUGUGGAUGCCCCAUGGCUGGAACCCUAUGAGCAGCAGCUGGAUGUGCUUCUCACGGUGUCACGCUCCAAAAACAGGCAACUCUACGAGACGCUCUUAUACUGCAGGUCCUCCAAUAAAUACUCUAACAGGGCGAUAGACUAUACGUAUAUGUACAGAAUGUGUGUUUGCACCAGUUUGCACAUGUUUUUACAUCCUCUCAUGUAAUUGCAGUUGACCACAAAUGAAUGCAGCUCUGACGCCUGCAGUACGACGGCAGCUUACCUGCAUUUCCCUCUCUGUUUUCUUGCUGAAGCUGAUUGAAGCGUCCUCACUUUUUAUUUUCUGCCAUAUGAAGAACCCCAGUGCGAUUAUAACCACCACUAAAACCAGAGGAACGAAUAUGUACCACCACAAAACUAGAGAGAGAAAAAACAUACGUUACUGGUUUUGACUUUGCUUUGUUCACCAAACAUCAUGUCAUGUUUGUUUCCAGUUUAGUUUUGUUGCAUUUUGUCUGUAGUAAAUGAGUUAAAAACCUCUUUAGUGUCAUUUUUGUGUUUCCCUUUCUGUUUCAUGCUUUAAGAUUAAUGAUACACCUUUUAAGAAGACACUUAACACACCCUUAAAUUCAAGUUAAAUUUGUAACAUCACCAAAUAUUUUGCUUUGUGAAAAAUCGCUGUAGUUGAUUAUGUAAAAAUGAGGACAUAUUCAUAAAUAAAAGUACCAUUACUCA